GACGAACGCUGGCGGCGUGCUUAACACAUGCAAGUCGAACGGAAAGGCCCUGCUUUUGUGGGGUGCUCGAGUGGCGAACGGGUGAGUAACACGUGAGUAACCUGCCCUUGACUUUGGGAUAACUUCAGGAAACUGGGGCUAAUACCGGAUAGGAGCUCCUGCUGCAUGGCGGGGGUUGGAAAGUUUCGGCGGUUGGGGAUGGACUCGCGGCUUAUCAGCUUGUUGGUGGGGUAGUGGCUUACCAAGGCUUUGACGGGUAGCCGGCCUGAGAGGGUGACCGGACAUUGGGGGAAUGAGAUGCGGCAGACACGUAUACGGGACAGCGCAGGGGAGAAUUGUACAAAGGGCGGAAGCCUGAUGCAGCAACGCCGCGUGCGGGAUGACGGCCUUCGGGUUGUAAACCGCUUUCGCCUGUGACGAAGCGUGAGUGACGGUAAUGGGUAAAGAAGCACCGGCUAACUACGUG
rnacentral:rRNA from 1 species